GUCUGAGGCCACACGGCCCUGAAGGCGCCCGAUCUCGUCUGAUCUGGGAAGCUAAGCAGGGUCGGGCCCGGUCAGGACCCUGGAUG
rnacentral:rRNA from 1 species